rnacentral:misc_RNA from 1 species
UACGGAGGUGGCGAGCGUUGUUCGGAUUUACUGGGUGUAAAGGGCACGUAGGCGGUCCUGUAAGCUCUGCUUGAAAUUCAUUGGCUCAACCAAUGGACGUGGCAGGGAACUGCUGGACUUGAGGGCUGGAGAGGUGAACGGAAUUCCCGGUGUAAGGGUGAAAUCUGUAGAUAUCGGGAGGAACACCAGUGGCGUAGGCGGUUCACUGGCCAGCUUCUGACGCUGAGGUGCGAAAGCUAGGGGAGCGAACAGG